AUGGCUUGCUUCGGCCACAUAUAUACUAAAAUUGGAAUGAUACAGAGAAGAUUAGCAUGGCCCCUGUGCAAUGACAACACACAAAUUUGUGAAACAUUCCAUAUUUUU
ensembl:snRNA U6 U6 spliceosomal RNA